UUGAUCCUGGCUCAGAACGAACGCUGGCGGCGCGCUCAUACAUGCAGUCGAGCGAGAAAGCCGCUUCGGUGGGUGAUUACAGCGGCGAACGGGUGCGUAACACGUGGGCAACCUGCCUUUAGGUCUGGGAUAAGCCGCCGAAAGGGGGUCUAAUACCGGAUAACACCUUUCUAUCGCAUGGUAGAAAGUUCAAAGACCGCUUGCGGUCGCCUGAAGAUGGGCCCGCGGCCUAUUAGCUAGUUGGUGAGAUAACAGCCCACCAAGGCUGCGAUGGGUAGCCGUCCUGAGAGGGUGAACGGCCACACUGGGACUGAGAUACGGCCCAGACUCCUACGGGAGGCAGCAGUAGGGAAUAUUGCGCAAUGCCCGAAAGGGUGACGCAGCGACGCCGCGUGGGUGAUGAAGCUUCUUGGAGCGUAAAGCCCUUUCAGAAGGGAAGAACCGCAUGGAGGUGAACCUCCGUGCCUGACGGUACCUUCAGAAGAAGCUCCGGCUAACUCCGUGCCAGCAGCCGCGGUAAUACGGAGGGAGCAAGCGUUGUUCGGAAUCACUGGGCGUAAAGGGCGCGUAGGCGGACCGGUGAGUCAGGUGUGAAAACCCGGGGCUUAACCCCGGGCCUGCACUUGAUACUAUCGGUCUUGAGUACGAGAGAGGAAAGCGGAAUUCCAGGUGUAGCGGUGAAAUGCGUAGAUAUCUGGGAGAACACCGGUGGCGAAGGCGGCUUUCUGGCUCGAUACUGACGCUGAUGCGCGAAGGCUAGGGGAGCAAACAGGAUUAGAUACCCUGGUAGUCCUAGCGGUAAACGAUGGGCACUAGGUGUCGGAGGACUUACCCCUUCAGUGCCGCAGCUAACGCAUUAAGUGCCCCGCACUGGGGAGUACGAUCGCAAGAUUGAAACUCAAAGGAAUUGACGGGGCCCCGCACAAGCAGUGGAGUAUGUGGUUUAAUUCGAUGCAACGCGAAGAACCUUACCUGGGCUUGACAUCAACUGGAAAGCCAUAGAGAUAUGCCCCCUCUUCGGA
rnacentral:rRNA from 1 species